GUUAGCCACUCCUUGCCUAACAGUGAGAGAGAGCCAGAUAAUCUAAGAAACAGUAACUGCGUUUGUGUGUUUUACUUUUUUUAACUGGAAGAUAAUUGCUUUACAAUAGUAACUUCUUUUGAAAAGCUUUUUCUUAGCAGAAACCUAAGGUCAUAACACAGUAAAGGGAACCGAAUUCUAAAGAAGGACAAGUUCUUCUGAGACACAUAGGGAAUAUGCAGUUUCACCUUUAGAAGAACAGAGUGAGUAGAGAUGGCUCCACAGAGGUGGGUGAGAAGAAAUCAGCGAAGAUAAUGAAAUUUUAAGGGCCAAGUGUGGGUGAGUGUAUCUGUUUAGAGUACCUGAGAGCUCCAAACACACAUUUUGCUCAGCUUUACUUCAAAGGCCCCCACUGAGUACUGUUGAGAAAUACUAGAGGCGGAGCUGGGGAUGGGCGAGAACCUGCUCAGUGGCUCCCACACACAGAAAGUGACUGUCUCUCAUUGGGGUAGACGCAUCUUCCCAGGACCUUCAUCUCAUAAGAAGUAAAAGACUUCUGGGAAAGAAGUAGGAAACCCUGUUGUCUGAGGGCCAUUAUGGAGGAGGGAUUCUCUGCAUCUGAGGGAGGGCUAGUAAACCCUACUGCUUGCACCAGAAUCAAACUAAGAUCUAUUGUUUCCAGUAAAGGCCUGCUUCUGAAGGAGAGGCAAGAACACCUCUUGCAUCAAUAAUUACUGCAACAAUACAAAGCAGAUUGCUUCCAGUGCUAAGGGAAGGAGUUAGACUUUUUCAGAGAUAAAAGGGUGACUUUGAUUGCCUUGACAAUCAAGAGGCAAGGUCACUGAGGAAGCUCCACCUCCAAGGACUUGCCUCAAAUUAAAACUAGAACAGAAAACAGAGAGGUCUACCCAGCUGCUAUGGAAAAGUUUGCCAACCCCUAGAUAAGAACAUGGAAAGAGACUCGUCUGUUGCCAAGUUGUACAAAACUUCCAAAUAUGAACACGGAGCAGGAACACCUCUGUGGCACAUGAGCAAGUACUAGAAGUAGGGAAACCACUGGAGGAAUUUGACGCUUAUGAUGCAUAUGAGCAUAAUGGUAGGACACAAAAAUCUACGCCUUGUAUAUCAGCUCACCUGGCUCAACUACUCCCUAGACUGACACCUUCAUAUUAACAGCCUGGCAGAAGAAGAGGCACAUCCAUUCCCAGUUUUAAAAAGGAUUUACUUCAGCAUCUUUUUCUCUUCUACAUACAAUUUCCAUAUUUCAAUUAAAAAAUAUAAUAAGGCCAGGUCAUAAGCUAUAAUUUUGAUUAAAAACUAUUCAUUUUUGGAAAGUAUUUUUAAGAUGAGAUUAACAUUUAAAUCAGUAGACUUUGGAUAAACUAGAUUGUAUAAUGUAGGUAGUCCUUAUCUAAUCAGUUAAAGGCAUUAAAAACUUAAAAGACUGAUACCCCUCUCCCCAAGAGGAAAGGGAAUUCAUCCAAAUGCAUUAGUUUGCUUUUAUCUUUAUUAAAUUCUAUUAUUUCCUUUUCUAAGUUGUAUUUCCUAAAUUCAAUUCCUAACUUCUUAAUUUGAUUUAAUUUAUUUUGAUUCUGUCUUGUGUACUUAUAAAUUUUUUCUGUAAGUACUGCUGUAUCUCAUAGUUCUGACAUGUUUUCAUUGCUUCUAAUUUCUAGAUAUUCUGCAUUUUUAAGUUUUAUUUUUUCUUUGACUCUAGUGAUAUAACAAAAUUAUGGAAUAUCAAGAUUGUUGUAUUUCUUUUGUGUGCUUAUAUCUAGUUUUUGUUAUUGUUAGUUUUUUUAACCAUUGUCCAAAAAAACUAGAUAGAGUAGACAUUAAAAGUUGGCAUUAACUUCUAAAAAUUUGAUGAGGUUUAUUUAUGAUCUAAUAAAUGGUCAUUUUUGGUUUUGAUACUGUGUAGCAUAAGCCCUAGAAAAUCAGUCUUAUUCUUGUUUUUAGAUGAUAGAUUUUUAUGCAUAUUUUUAUCCCCAAACAUUUGUUUCUUAAUGGAGACAAAAAAGUAAGUGCAUUUAUUAUUCUCCUAGCAUUUUCAUCAUACUUAGCACUUUCCAAUCAUUGCUAGGCUUGUUGUGUGUUCCUCUAUAUUUUAAGAUUUAUAGAGUUGUAUUUUCUUUUGUAAUUACAGCUGGUAUUUGGUUUCGGUUCUUUGGUACUAGGGCUUUAUUGUUUCUGAGCUCUUUAUUUUGAUUUAUCUCUUAAUUAUUUAGAUUUUGUGAAUAGUAAUUCUUCUUGUGAAACAUUCAUAAAUUCCAUAUUUCCUGAAUCUUGAUAUGUCCCUGCCUUUAUACAUGAAGAAAAGGAAUUUGGUUCAUUUUAAGACUACUGGGUCACACUAUUUUUUUAUUACAACAGUUUGUAGGCUUUUUUUUUAAAACAAUAUUCUACCCUUAAGUAUUGCCUUGGAAAAGUCUGAGAUCACUCAGAUUUUUCUUUUUUAAUUCCAC
ensembl:lncRNA